UGUCAGAAGCCAGCAAGUGAAUUCCUGCAGGAUAUUAGAAGCACCUUAGGCAGGUGUGAGAAGGGGAAGUUCCAGCAGCCAGAGGAGGUUUCUCCUGAACUGGAAGAGCGAGUCAGUGGUUUCUCCCAGAAAACGAUUGUGCUAUUGGAGACUCUGGGGAAGUUCAAAGACACUCUGCCAUCUGCACUAGAGACAAAAAGAGGAGGAUCGUUAGGAACAUUCAGACAGGGUGAGAUUGCAGCUGGAGAUUAUCUUUAAAUUAUCAGAAAACGUCUUCAAGAGAUUGUAGUUAAAGUUACCAACCAAACCAACACUGACCAUGACACACACGGCCCUAAAAACAACACUCUGAACAGUGAGGAGCUCCCACACACCGAAGUCACACAAACACUCCUGACACCAACCUUAGUGCUGAGUUCAUGCCCAGGCUGCUGAACAGAAAAGCUCUCCCUGAGCAGCAUGUGAACAGAGCUCUCUGCCCUGAGGGCUGACACAUCUCUCUCAUUUAUCCCGGUGCAGGGGGUCUCCCACAUCGUACUUCUCCAACAUUCUCCCUUUCCUUUGGGCAGGGCUGGGCUCUCCCAUUGGAGUUGCUCCCUGCUUCUUGCACUGGGGAGACGCCCUCGUGCCCCAAGGCUCAGCUCCUCCCUUUACUCUAGGCUGGGGAUGGGGCUACCCCACCCAAUGCCCCCUCCUACUCUCUGGUCUUAAUUGGCUCUUUCUACUCUGGCCCAGGGCCGGUACAAGGAAGUUUUGCACCCUAGGCGAAACUUCCACCUUGCACCCCCCACCCAGCUAACCCCGCCCCCCCAUGGCAGAUAACUCAGCCUCCUACCUGGGGAGCCCCCCCCGCAGCAGCUACCCCCCACCACCACGACAGCUACCCCUUCUCCUGCCCGUCCCGUCACGGCAACUAACCCCACCCAGGGAGACUCCCCCUGUCCCCCCACGGCAGCUAACCCUGCCUGGAGAGACUUCCCCCAUCACCACCACGGCAGCUAACCCUGCCUGUGGAGACCUCCCCCCCCGCGGAAGCUAACCCUGCUGGGGA